GACAGAGGGUGCAAACGUUGCUCGGAAUUACUGGGCGUAAAGGGCGUGUAGGCGGGAAGGCAAGUCGGGCGUGAAAGCCCCAGGCUCAACCUGGGAACUGCACUCGAAACUGCCUUUCUUGAGUGCCGGAGAGGAAAGCGGAAUUCCGUGGUGUAGAGGUGAAAUUCGUAGAUAUCAGGAGGAACACCAGUGGCGAAGGCGGCUU
rnacentral:rRNA from 1 species